UGUUUUCUCAAUUGCAGGCAGAUUGGCCAAUGAAGGCUAAUCAGAGAUCCAAGAAUAUCUGCAUGGCCUCAGCCUCCUGAAACCUUGUGCUGAAGAGGGAGCACUAUUGAUUUCUCUUGUCAUCUGGAAACAAACUUCAAAAACAGCUCCCUCUGUGUGACCUCUAUUUAAAGAUCUCUCUUAGCUAUUAGGAGCUAGCGUUGCAAUGUGUAUGUUUAGCUGACUGAGGAUGCCCUGUGAAAUCUUCAGCCUGGGCAGCAGUCAUCUCCAGUGAGGAUGCAGUUCAGCUUCUUAGCCCAUUGACUCCUCUGUACCUCUGCCACAAUUGCCAGCAAGCAGGUUAAUAAAAGGUGCAACAACGUGCAAGUGCUGAAAAAUCAUAGACCCCCACAACCUGGGAAAGGAGCCAGUCAAGAAGACACCUGGAGUUUGCCAUUGAGAUGCCCUCACUGUUGAGGGAAGACUCCAAAGGAAGAACAUGGUAAUUGUGAGAGAGACUGGGAAAGAGGACUUAAAGUAAGUAAAUGGAAAAGCAAGAAAGCUGACUCUGUUGUAAAACGAAAUGUUGUAACUUGGUUUAAAACAAAAACGGUAAUAGUUGAAAUACUAUCUUCCAGGCCCCUUGGAAAGUUACAUAAUAGCCACCUGGAUUGCUUUUGUUUUUGCAAUGAGAGGCAUAAAAAUCAAAGAAUAUGGAGCAAUAGCAAGAGAGAGAGUUUAAAAUGCAACUGCUUCCCCUCUACCUCUUUCUGAGCAUCUACAAGGCAGUCUGACAUGAACCUUCAGUAAAAUUAA